rnacentral:siRNA from 1 species
AUCUGGUUUCACGCCGUCUCUUGG